ensembl:lncRNA
CGCCGUCCAACUUUUCUGUACAUUUCGCGUCAUCUAAACGGGGGAGAAAACUGGCAUCCUAUGCAAAUAUAUGCUGACGUAAAAGAUCAUGUGUUCCUCGUCGUCGCCCCCCCCCCCUAUGAGCGAGAGGAGGUGGUUCUCCUCCGGUUGUCUUUAGGUCGGCAAUGCCAGGAUCCGUACUGUACCCGCCGCACCGCACCGCACCGACCCUGGCCCGGGAGUAGGAGCCGUCUAGCCGCAGAGCCGCCGCAGACACGCCGCUCACAAGGAGGAGGUGUGUAAGUUACCGUGGUAACCCCUCACCCCCUGUAUGUUACCCUGGCAACCUGAGGAUGGCGGAGCAGCAGUCCUCCCAGAGCUGAGCAGAGGAGCGGUUAAAGAACCGUCACAGGGGGGGGAGGACAUGUCUGUCUGUCUGCUCUGGGGGCCGUCUGUCUGUCUGCUCUGGAGGGCCGUCUGUCUGUCUGCUCUGGAGGACUGUCUGUCUGCUCUGGAGGGCCGUCUGUCUGUCUGCUCUGGAGGGCCGUCUGUCUGUCUGCUCUGGAGGGCCGUCUGUCUGUCUGCUCUGGAGGGCCGUCUGUCUGCUCUGGGGGCCGUCUGUCUGCUCUGGAGGACUGUGUCUGCUCUGGGGGCCGUCUGUCUGCUCUGGAGGACUGUCUGUCUGCUCUGGAAGGCCGUCUGUCUGUCUGCUCUGGAGGACUGUCUGUCUGCUCUGGAGGACUGUCUGUCUGCUCUGGAGGGCCGUCUGUCUGUCUGCUCUGGAGGGCCGUCUGUCUGUCUGCUCUGGAGGGCCGUCUGUCUGUCUGCUCUGGAGGGCCGACUGUCUGUCUGCUCUGGAGGGCCGUCUGUCUGCUCUGGAGGACUGUCUGUCUCCUCUGGAGGACUGUCUGUCUGCUCUGGAGGACUGUCUGUCUGUCUGCUCUGGAGGACUGUCUGUCUGCUCUGGAGGGCCGUCUGUCUGUCUGCUCUGGAGGACUGUCUGUCUGCUCUGGAGGGCCGUCUGUCUGUCUGCUCUGGAGGACUGUCUGUCUGCUCUGGAGGGCCGUUUGUCUGUCUGCUCUGGAGGACUGUUUGUCUGCUCUGGGGGCCGUCUGUCUGUCUGGAGGGCAGUCUGUCUGUCUGUAGGGCCAUCUGUCUGUCUGCUCUGAGGGGCCGUCUGUCUGCUCAGUGAUGAGGUCGUGGUUGGACAGAGAUCUGAUGACAUCACUUCCUUUCCUUCCUGCUUUCAGGUCCAGUCCGUUACCCAGAGUGCAUUGGGGCGAGAGUUCCUCACAGGAGAGGGCUGGGAUUGGUGGAGCAGGCGUCAGUGGAGCCCCUCCAGGGACGUACAGUAAGUGGCGUGACUUCCCGUGACCUCUGACCCCUAGCCUCAGAGCCCAUAGCUUCCUGUCAUAGCGAAGGGAACCCUUCCUCACCUUCGUCCUCCUCAGUGGAGCCCUCAACCCCGCAGGAGGAAGAGGAGGAGGAGGAGGAGGAGGAGGAGGAGCAGGAGGAAGAGGAAGAGGAGGAGGUGGAGGAGGAGGAAGAGGAGGAGGAGAUGACAGACAGGGCAACAGAAACCAGGAGGCCGGGUGUUAAUCUGGCCCCUAGUGACAUCACAAGUGGGCCCUGUUCCUGUCAUGUGACCAGGGCUUAUGUCUUUGUACAAACUGUUCAGAGAUUCCAGGAGAAUUAAAAUCACGGUUCAGUAAGAAUCAGACCUUUUAGUGCCUAUUAAUAUGCUGUUGUUGUUAUUAUUAUUAUGAUUAAAUAUGAGUUGGCAUGAUGAACACUCGUGGUUGUCAUGGCGAUAAGGCAAGGGUAGCCCCUGUGUGAUUGGAUGAUGUGAAAGAGAGCCACCCGCCAAUGAUAUCGCGGCAGAG